rnacentral:rRNA from 1 species
AGAGUUUGAUCCUGGCUCAGAUUGAACGCUGGCGGCAUGCUUUACACAUGCAAGUCGAACGGCAGCACGGGCUUCGGCCUGGUGGCGAGUGGCGAACGGGUGAGUAAUGCGUCGGAACGCGCCGAGUAGUGGGGGAUAACGCAGCGAAAGCUGUGCUAAUACCGCAUACGUACUGAGGUAGAAAGCGGGGGACCUUCGGGCCUCACGCUAUUCGAGCGGCCGACGUCUGAUUAGCUAGUUGGUGGGGUAAAGGCUCACCAAGGCGACGAUCAGUAGCGGGUCUGAGAGGAUGAUCCGCCACACUGGGACUGAGACACGGCCCAGACUCCUACGGGAGGCAGCAGUGGGGAAUUUUGGACAAUGGGCGCAAGCCUGAUCCAGCCAUGCCGCGUGUCUGAAGAAGGCCUU